AGGCGCUGGGCAGGGUGCGAUGGGCAGGGUGUGACGGGUAGGGCAAAGAACACCCAUCCCGGUCACCCCUGGCUUUCAGCGGGGCCGCCUCGGUGUUGAUUUUGCGCGCUCCGCCCCCCUCCCCCCCCCCCCCCCCUCCCCUCCCCUUCCCUUCCCUUCCCUUCCCUUCCCUUCCCUUCCCUUCCCCCCCCCGCAAAAACCUCAUCCUACUUACAGUGCCGACCGCAAGCGCCCAGCAGUCAUGAGUCAGCCGUGCUGAGCAUCGCACGGGGAGGUGAGCGCUCCCGGGACUGAAAACAAAAACAAAACCCCGACAAUCCCGAGGCGGGAGCGCUGAUUGUUCUUCGCCUCCUCUCGGGGGGGUGUGUGUGUGUGUGUGUUUGUCUGUGUGUGUGAAGAGCCUGAAUCCGAGCUCUUUUCCCACCCCGAGGCUUGGCGCCAUGGUUCCUUUUGCCAAGUGGAAAGCUGUGAUUCCUGCAAAUUAUCCUGGUGCCGGCAGCCAGGACUUCUGAACGAGACCCCGAAUGUCAAUGGACAUGAAAUGCAGUUGGGAGAACGGUGCAGCCAAACAUAUAUUCCAGACAAAUAUGAGUUAUUUGAAGAGGCAUCAUGUAUGGUUUCUCAAAACAAUACCAAAUUUGUCAAGCAAUAACAACGAAAUGAGGUAAGAAUGAAUGUGAAGAGGUACAAUUUAGAAGUUGUCCCAAGAAUACUUAAGGAGUAACUUGUUGUGAAUGCUGCAAUGCAUCCUCUGGAAAAGGCGGCAUCCACACAUUCAACAACAUGUGUUGGCU
ensembl:lncRNA